rnacentral:rRNA from 1 species
GCCUGCGGCCACACCACCUUGAAUAAGCCUGAUCUCGUCUGAUCUCAGAAGCUAAGCAACGUUGGGAUUGGUUAGUACUUGGAUGGGAGACCACCUGGGAAUAUCAAGUGCUGUAGGCAUU